UGGAUGCUGACAGUACAAAGCUGAAUCUAUUUCUGGGCAUUGCCAUCGGCUGUAGGAACUUCCAAGUUCAAGAUUACACCUCCAUAAAAGAAGCUGAUACAGGGAAACAAAGGCCUUGUUCCUGUGAAGGGCUGUCUCAGCUCAAGAGUGUAUCAUGGAUUGACUGGGGCCUCAGUUGAGACCACAUUGCAGCACACACAGAUGGCAACUAGAAUAAGCUAAAGAAAAACACGAAGACAACAUAUAUUAUGAUAAUUGGUGAGCAAGUACCCUACAGACUCCAACAUGGGAAAACAGAAAUACCAACAACAUGUAUCAGAUCUGCAGAGAAAAAGACAACAGGGCUUAUCGUGGCAAUGGAAACAGACAAACACUAAAGUUAACAGAGGAAGAGAAACUGAGGAGAAGCUUUUGGAGAUAGAACCCACAUUGAACAAGAAGUAAAUAAAAAGGAAGAUCCAAAUAUAACCAAAAACGGAAGCAGAAAGAGCAGAUGUCAGAAAACAUGAAGCCAUAUUUUUAUCUCUUUGGGAAAACAACAGAAAUGAGAUCUCCAGAGAAAUAAAGCUGUAAAUAAAAGUUAUCCUGAAUGCAUCUCUCUCUUUAAAGUCACAGAAUGCUUUCAUAUAAUAAAAAAACAACCCCAGAAAGCCAUGUUUUCAAAAUGAAGCAAAAGAAAUUAAG
rnacentral:lncRNA from 1 species